UCCCCUGUAGCUCAGUUGGUAGAGCGGCACGCUGUUAACGUGCAUGUCCGUGGUUCGAGCCCACGCGGGGGAG
rnacentral:tRNA from 1 species